AACGCACCUUGCGCCCUCUGGUAUUCCGGAGGGCAUGCCUGUUUGAGUGUCAUGUAGACUCAAUCCCAGGGUUUCCUGUGAUUGGACUUGGGUGUUGCCUCUGGCUCACCUCAAAUGCCUCAGCCGUGGAGUGACUUAAUAAGUUUCGUCCGCCUCGGCUUAUAACCACAUCUUUGACUCAGACCUCAGAUCAGGUAGGACUACCCGCUGAACUUAA
rnacentral:misc_RNA from 1 species